rnacentral:rRNA from 1 species
GAUCCUGGCUCAGAGUGAACGCUGGCGGCAGGCCUAACACAUGCAAGUCGAACGGCAGCACAGUCGUAGCAAUACGAUGGGUGGCGAGUGGCGGACGGGUGAGGAAUGCAUCGGAAUCUGCCUUGUUGUGGGGGAUAACGUAGGGAAACUUACGCUAAUACCGCAUGAGACCGAAAGGUGAAAGAGGGGGGACCGCAAGGCCUCUCGCGACAAGAUGAGCCGAUGCCGGAUUAGCUAGUUGGUGGGGUAAAGGCUCACCAAGGCGACGAUCCGUAGCUGGUCUGAGAGGAUGAUCAGCCACACUGGAACUGAGACACGGUCCAGACUCCUACGGGAGGCAGCAGUGGGGAAUAUUGGACAAUGGGGGAAACCCUGAUCCAGCCAUGCCGCGUGUGUGAAGAAGGCCUUCGGGUUGUAAAGCACUUUAAGCGGGGAGGAAGGCCUUGAGGAUAAUACCCUUGAGGAUUGACGUUACCCGCAGAAUAAGCACCGGCUAACUCUGUG